CGAUGUGAAGGCGAUCUGGCUCUGACAUCUGUCACCUCAUUGCUUGCCAGGACUGAUUUAGCUGGUCUGGCUGGUUAGGCAGGUGUCUUCAAAUUCCCUUAAUGCCCCAAUUGUAUCUGCCUAAAGCUGAGUAUGUAGUUGGAGAGGAUGAGCUUCCCCAGUAGACGAUGGUUCUUUGGUCAAGGGUAUAUGAAUAGCCAGAACCUCCAAAGACACUGUCAAGUAUAUUUGCCAUAUUGAAUUUAAUAAACAGUCUAUCAAUUGAUUUUAUUUAAAAUUUUCUACGUACAAUAUAUUUUUAUU
rnacentral:snRNA from 1 species